UACGUAGGGGUCGAGCGUUGUCCGGAGUUACUGGGCGUAAAGCGCGCGCAGGCGGCGCGAUAAGACCGGCGUGAAAGCCCCCGGCUCAACUGGGGAGGGUCAUUCGAUACUGAUCGACUCGAAGGCAGGAGAGGGUAGUGGAAUUCCCGGUGUAGUGGUGAAAUGCGUAGAUAUCGGGAGGAACACCAGUGGCGAAGGCGACUACCUGGCCCGUUCUUGACGCUGAGGCGCGAAAGCUAGGGGAGCAAACGGG
rnacentral:rRNA from 1 species